rnacentral:rRNA from 1 species
UAGGGAAUCUUCCACAAUGGACGAAAGUCUGAUGGAGCAACGCCGCGUGAGUGAAGAAGGGUUUCGGCUCGUAAACUCGGUUGUUAAAGAAGAACAUAUCUGAGAGUAACUGUUCAGGUAUUGACGGUAUUUAACCAGAAAGCCACGGCUAACUACGUGCUAG